rnacentral:rRNA from 1 species
UUAAGCGACUAAGCGUACACGGUGGAUGCCCUGGCAGUCAGAGGCGAUGAAGGACGUGCUAAUCUGCGAAAAGCGUCGGUAAGGUGAUAUGAACCGUUAUAACCGGCGAUGUCCGAAUGGGGAAACCCAGUGUGAUUCGUCACACUAUCGUUAACUGAAUACAUAGGUUAACGAGGCGAACCGGGGGAACUGAAACAUCUAAGUACCCCGAGGAAAAGAAAUCAACCGAGAUUCCCCCAGUAGCGGCGAGCGAACGGGGAGCAGCCCAGAGUCUGAAUCAGCUUGUGUGUUAGUGGAACGGUCUGGAAAGUCCGACGGUACAGGGUGAUAGUCCCGUACACCAAAAUGCACAGGCUGUGAACUCGAAGAGUAGGGCGGGACACGUGGUAUCCUGUCUGAAUAUGGGGGGACCAUCCUCCAAGGCUAAAUACUCCUGACUGACCGAUAGUGAACCAGUACCGUGAGGGAAAGGCGAAAAGAACCCCGGCGAGGGGAGUGAAAAAGAACCUGAAACCGUGUACGUACAAGCAGUGGGAGCACCUUCGGGUGUGACUGCGUACCUUUUGUAUAAUGGGUCAGCGACUUAUAUUCUGUAGCAAGGUUAACCGUAUAGGGGAGCCGCAGGGAAACCGAGUCUUAACUGGGCGUUAAGUUGCAGGGUAUAGACCCGAAACCCGGUGAUCUAGCCAUGGGCAGGUUGAAGGUUGGGUAACACUAACUGGAGGACCGAACCGACUAAUGUUGAAAAAUUAGCGGAUGACUUGUGGCUGGGGGUGAAAGGCCAAUCAAACCGGGAGAUAGCUGGUUCUCCCCGAAAGCUAUUUAGGUAGCGCCUCGUGAACUCAUCUUCGGGGGUAGAGCACUGUUUCGGCUAGGGGGUCAUCCCGACUUACCAACCCGAUGCAAACUACGAAUACCGAAGAAUGUUAUCACGGGAGACACACGGCGGGUGCUAACGUCCGUCGUGAAGAGGGAAACAACCCAGACCGCCAGCUAAGGUCCCAAAGUCAUGGUUAAGUGGGAAACGAUGUGGGAAGGCACAGACAGCCAGGAUGUUGGCUUAGAAGCAGCCAUCAUUUAAAGAAAGCGUAAUAGCUCACUGGUCGAGUCGGCCUGCGCGGAAGAUGUAACGGGGCUAAACCAUGCACCGAAGCUGCGGCAGCGACACUAUGUGUUGUUGGGUAGGGGAGCGUUCUGUAAGCCUGCGAAGGUGUGCUGUGAGGCAUGCUGGAGGUAUCAGAAGUGCGAAUGCUGACAUAAGUAACGAUAAAGCGGGUGAAAAGCCCGCUCGCCGGAAGACCAAGGGUUCCUGUCCAACGUUAAUCGGGGCAGGGUGAGUCGACCCCUAAGGCGAGGCCGAAAGGCGUAGUCGAUGGGAAACAGGUUAAUAUUCCUGUACUUGGUGUUACUGCGAAGGGGGGACGGAGAAGGCUAUGUUAGCCGGGCGACGGUUGUCCCGGUUUAAGCAUGUAGGCUGGUUAUCCAGGCAAAUCCGGAUAAUCAAGGCUGAGGUGUGAUGACGAGGCACUACGGUGCUGAAGUAACAAAUGCCCUGCUUCCAGGAAAAGCCUCUAAGCAUCAGGUAACAUCAAAUCGUACCCCAAACCGACACAGGUGGUCAGGUAGAGAAUACCAAGGCGCUUGAGAGAACUCGGGUGAAGGAACUAGGCAAAAUGGUGCCGUAACUUCGGGAGAAGGCACGCUGGUGUGUAGGUGAAGUCCCUGCGGAUGGAGCUGAGACCAGUCGAAGAUACCAGCUGGCUGCAACUGUUUAUUAAAAACACAGCACUGUGCAAACACGAAAGUGGACGUAUACGGUGUGACGCCUGCCCGGUGCCGGAAGGUUAAUUGAUGGGGUUAUCCGUAAGGAGAAGCUCUUGAUCGAAGCCCCGGUAAACGGCGGCCGUAACUAUAACGGUCCUAAGGUAGCGAAAUUCCUUGUCGGGUAAGUUCCGACCUGCACGAAUGGCGUAAUGAUGGCCAGGCUGUCUCCACCCGAGACUCAGUGAAAUUGAACUCGCUGUGAAGAUGCAGUGUACCCGCGGCAAGACGGAAAGACCCCGUGAACCUUUACUAUAGCUUGACACUGAACAUUGAGCCUUGAUGUGUAGGAUAGGUGGGAGGCUUUGAAGCGUGGACGCCAGUCUGCGUGGAGCCAACCUUGAAAUACCACCCUUUAAUGUUUGAUGUUCUAACGUUGGCCCCUUACCGGGGUUGCGGACAGUGUCUGGUGGGUAGUUUGACUGGGGCGGUCUCCUCCCAAAGCGUAACGGAGGAGCACGAAGGUUAGCUAAUCCUGGUCGGACAUCAGGAGGUUAGUGCAAUGGCAUAAGCUAGCUUGACUGCGAGCGUGACGGCGCGAGCAGGUGCGAAAGCAGGUCAUAGUGAUCCGGUGGUUCUGAAUGGAAGGGCCAUCGCUCAACGGAUAAAAGGUACUCCGGGGAUAACAGGCUGAUACCGCCCAAGAGUUCAUAUCGACGGCGGUGUUUGGCACCUCGAUGUCGGCUCAUCACAUCCUGGGGCUGAAGUAGGUCCCAAGGGUAUGGCUGUUCGCCAUUUAAAGUGGUACGCGAGCUGGGUUUAGAACGUCGUGAGACAGUUCGGUCCCUAUCUGCCGUGGGCGCUGGAGAAUUGAGGGGGGCUGCUCCUAGUACGAGAGGACCGGAGUGGACGCAUCACUGGUGUUCGGGUUGUCAUGCCAAUGGCACUGCCCGGUAGCUAAAUGCGGAAGAGAUAAGUGCUGAAAGCAUCUAAGCACGAAACUUGCCCCGAGAUGAGUUCUCCCUGAGACUAUAAGUCUCCUGAAGGAACGUUAAAGACGAUGACGUUGAUAGGCCGGGUGUGUAAGCGCAGCGAUGCGUUGAGCUAACCGGUACUAAUGAACCGUGAGGCUUAACCUU